AGCACAUGGUGAGGGCAUUUUCUCAAUAAAUCCUUAAAUUUUUCUUAUGUUUCAUACAAAGACUCUAUGUCAUGCUAAGUAAAAGUAUUGAUUUCAUUCCUCAUUCU
rnacentral:snoRNA from 1 species